AUUAAACGCUGGCGGCAUGCCUUACACAUGCAAGUCGAACGGCAGCACGGGGGCAACCCUGGUGGCGAGUGGCGAACGGGUGAGUAAAGCAUCGGAACGUGCCCUGGAGUGGGGGAUAACGUAGCGAAAGUUACGCUAAUACCGCAUAUUCUGUGAGCAGGAAAGCAGGGGAUCGCAAGACCUUGCGCUCUGGGAGCGGCCGAUGUCGGAUUAGCUAGUUGGUGGGUAAAGGCCUACCAAGGCGACGAUCCGUAGCGGGUCUGAGAGGAUGAUCCGCCACACUGGGACUGAGACACGGCCCAGACUCCUACGGGAGGCAGCAGUGGGGAAUUUUGGACAAUGGGCGCAAGCCUGAUCCAGCCAUGCCGCGUGCGGGACGAAGGCC
rnacentral:rRNA from 1 species